UGAGACAGAGCAACAGUGGGACAAACCCAAACAGCACUAAGUGCUGAGAUUCAUAUUCAGGACUGACCCUUUAAUGUUCUUUUCUAACCUGCUAUAAAUAAUAUGUUAUAUGCUUGUUUGAUAAGUAUUUUUUUUUUAUAUUUGUUAUUGCUUUUUUUUUUCAGGGGUUGGAACCAGGGCCAGUUAUUAAAAUGGUCAUCACCCGACCAAGGUCUAAAUCAAGUCAUGGAAGGAGGAAUCAGAUGACUUUCACAGUGCCUCGUUUUACCCUCAUAUUAUUAUGUGAGGUCUUUAACAGAAAUAAACUGUACAACAACUUGGCUGCUGACCCACUUCACAUCUCCUUGCUAAACACUGGAGAAUCACGCAAAGACUUUGAUGUAACAGAUUGACCUCUAACAGCAACCAUGGGCAUCAGUGAUGAGAAGACCCGUGUUGUGACGGCGUUGUGAGUACAGGCUGGACCCCACAGAGUGUGUGCAUGUCUGCAGUGAGGAUGAACUCUUCCACCUUGAAA